AUAUGUCUUUUAAUCGGAGAUCCUUUUCACGGGUAUCGUCGUAUUCUACCCAAGAUUCUCCUCGACUCGACGUCUCAAAAUCG
rnacentral:lncRNA from 1 species